GUCACGCCGUAAACGAUGUCUACUAGCCGUUGGGAGACUUGAUUUCUUAGUGGCGCAGCUAACGCUUUAAGUAGACCGCCUGGGGAGUACGGCCGCAAGGUUAAAACUCAAAUGAAAUUGACGGGGGCCCGCACAAGCGGUGGAUCAUGUGGUUUAAUUCGAUGCAACGCGAAGAACCUUACCAGGUCUUGACAUCCAGAGAACUUGGCAGAGAUGCCUUGGUGCCUUCGGGAGCUCUGAGACAGGUGCUGCAUGGCUGUCGU
rnacentral:rRNA from 1 species